UACGGGGGGGGCAAGCGUUGUUCGGAUUCAUUGGGCGUAAAGGGUGCGUAGGUGGCGUCGUAAGUGGGGUGUGAAAUCCCGGGGCUUAACCCCGGGACUGCAUUCCAUACUGCGGUGCUUGAGGACUGGAGAGGAGACUGGAAUUUACGGUGUAGCAGUGAAAUGCGUAGAGAUCGUAAGGAAGACCAGUGGCGAAGGCGGGUCUCUGGACAGUUCCUGACACUGAGGCACGAAGGCCAGGGGAGCAAACGGG
rnacentral:rRNA from 1 species